GACGAACGCUGGCGGCGUGCCUAAUACAUGCAAGUAGAACGCAGUUGCGAACGGGUGAGUAACGCGUAGGUAACUGCCUCAUAGCGGGGGGUAACUAUUGGAAACGAUAGCUAAUACCGCCUACUGUGAGAUGGACCUGCGUUGUAUUAUCUAGUUGGUGAGGUAAAGGCUCACCAAGGCGACGAUACAUAGCCGGGCUGAGAGGGGUAUAGGCCAACACGGGGCUGGGAACCGGCCCCAGACCCCACGGGAGGGAAGAGGAGGGAAUGUUCGGGAAUGGAGGGAAGCCUGAACGAGCAACGGCGCGGGGGAGAAGAAGGUUCUUGGAGUGGAAAGCUCUGUUGGGAGAGAAGCGUUAACUAAAGAGAAAGGAACGGCUAACUACGUGCCAGCAGCCGCGGUAAUAC
rnacentral:rRNA from 1 species